rnacentral:rRNA from 1 species
UACGUAGGGUGCGAGCGUUAAUCGGAAUUACUGGGCGUAAAGCGUGCGCAGGCGGUUUUGUAAGCCAGAUGUGAAAUCCCCCGGGCUUAACCUGGGAAUGGCAUUUGGGACUGCAAGGCUGGAGUGUGGCAGAGGAGACUGGAAUUCCUGGUGUAGCAGUGAAAUGCGUAGAUAUCAGGAGGAAUACCGAUGGCGAAGGCAGGUCUCUGGGCUGGACACUGACGCUCAUGCACGAAAGACGUGGGGAGCAAACGAGGAUUAGAGUACCCCGGUGAGAUCCGAUCAC